rnacentral:lncRNA from 1 species
AGCACAGCGCAGGAGCUCUCAGACUACCUCAGAUGCCAAGAGCCUGGUUUGAAUACAAGCCUUGCCAUUGUGUGACUUUGGGCCAGUGUUUCCAGCCAUCAUGUCAGAGCUGAGUGGAGUGGCACUGGGUGCCAAGGCAAACACCCAGCCCAGCUGUGCUGGGAAGAACUGAGCUCCAAUGUGUCUUGUGACCCAGCUCCUCCCACCCACCUGGCUGUGUCUCCUAUCCUGCAGAGAUUUCUGGGGGCUGUUUCCAGUAAACAGAGUGCCAGCACCCACUAACCUGUAAAUAGCACCUUGUUCAGGGGGAGUGAUAUUCUUUGGUUUAAAGACCCCUGACGUGACUUAUUGCCAUUCUGCUACUGAGCCUUGAGAGAUUAUGGUAAGUGCCAAGAAAAAAAAAAUGACUUUGAACUGCUCUUUCACCAGUUAAAAAUAACACUGAAACCAAAUGUAAACAUAAAAGAAGUGGUCAGAUUCGGGUUACAUAUUAACGGUGUUUGGUCAGGCUGGAGCUGAGGCACAGCAGCAGAGAAUGCCUUUUACUUAUCACUGUUUCCAAACCUCCCUACCUGGACUAGGCUUGACUGGAUUUACAAGAGACCUUUUGAAAAGAUGCAGAGAAGGCAAGCAGCACACAUUUCCUGGUAAUAAAUUUUAAAGGUUGCUAAAACAUUCCAGAGAUUUUCACUCAACAUUCCUCUGGCCAACACAUCUGCAAUCUGCCAAUCCUUAAAAAUAGGUGUUUUUGCAUUUUAAUCUCACAAACAUCUUUGAAAAUGCAUUUCUUCUCUGCCCCUGUGUUGGACAAAUCCAGCUUUUUCCAUUUUCUAAAAACCACAGAAAUAUAAUGCUGCUUAAUUCAUACAAGACUGAGCUAACUGGAGUUAAAAUAAAAUUUCUGAGAGUUUGUUUGGCUCACUCUUCCCUACCAGAUGAUUCCAUUCUUAAAACGGUCCUGUGAUUAUAUUCUCUCAUUACAGAGGUGUCCAGAAAAAAAAUAAGGAGUGCAGUUCUGAAAUUAUAUAAAAGCAAAAUUAUUACUCUAAACGUAAGAGCUGUGAUAGAUCGUGUCAUUGACCAUGGUUCUUUUCCCCUGACACACACGUCCCCACCACCCACCCACUGUAUCCAUAUGCCUUUUGCCAUAUGACUUUGCAGCUCUCCCCACUAAAGGGGCAGCCAUGCGAUUUGCUUUGGCCAAUGAAAUGAGGCAGUAGUGGUGGUAUCCUAGUUCUGAGCCUAGGUCUCAAGAAGUCUUAUGUGUUUCUGCUUAUCCUCUUAUACCUCUGCCAUCACCAUGAGCCAAACAUCCCCCAAGUAGCCCACUGGUCCCAGGACAAGGAGGGAGACAUGAAGCAGAGCUCAUCCAGCUGCUGCAGCCCCACUUGACCCAGAGACCUACACUGGGAAGCAGAGCUGCCCAGUCAAGUCCAACCUGGAUGUGUGGAACCCCAGCCAACCUGAUGCAUGAGCAGGAGAUCAGCUUAAUAUUGAAUCCUAGCCUCAAUGCUUUGGAUUUGUGCCAAGAAAAAUAACCUGAUCCCCAGAAUCAUUGAGAAUUGACGGGGGUCCUCAGGCUGGUGAGUCAACUGUGGUUGAAAUAUAGGUGUGGAAUAGUACGUAUGCGGCUGUUUCUGAUGAAAGACUGUAUUUGGAUAAGCUGUCUAAAAUAAUGGAACUGGCAAAGCUGGAAGGGACUCCUGAGAUUCAGUGAGGGAGGGUUUUUAAUGUAUGAUGGGUUCUGUGAAGGCAUUUUUAAAAAUACAGAGAAUUUUUAAAUAGACUGAGAAUUCAACAAAAGAGGGGACCUAGGAUGACCUGCUCAAGAUUUGAGACGAUGAGGAGAAAAAUAAGUCUGCUGGAACAGCAUUUCAAAUCCUAGACAAACGAUAAGGUUACAGAGGAGAAGCCAUAAAGCUAGAAUUGGGCAGAAGGGCCCAGAAAGGGAACAAGUGAGAUCAGAGGAUUACCAUGAUCAGGGGCCAGGAGACCUGUGGUUGGUAAAACAGGCCAUGGUAUGGUCAUUCCUCAGACAUGUUCCGUGGAGAGGACAUCAAAACA